GUAAGGGAAUCUUCCACAAUGGGCGCAAGUCUGAUGGAGCAACGCCGCGUGAGUGAAGAAGGUCUUCGGNUCGUAAAACUCUGUUGUUAGAGAAGAACACGAGUGAGAGUAACUGUUCAUUCGAUGACGGUAUCUAACCAGCAAGUCACGGCUAACUACGUGCCAG
rnacentral:rRNA from 1 species